GCCGCUUCCUGCUGUUCUCACCAAAAAACAUGUUACUUUGACAUCACAGUUGGUUGCUAUGGAAAUGCUGAUGCUACCAAAGAUAGGACUGAGCUGAAGGGCUAUAAAAAGUCCUGGAGACCCAGCUGAGUCCAUACGCAUUUGGGAGAGGCCACUGCAGCAUUUAUUUUCGGCGGCGGCACAUUAGCCCAUUAGGGUGCCAGAAUGUGACACCAAAUUUGGAUGAGGGGACGUCACACCAAAACAGAGUGCCGUGCUGCUAGGGCAGGGAAAGUUAGGAGUAAGGGGGUAAGAAAGCAGAGAGGAAAUCAGCACCACCCUGGCAAGGAAGAACAAAGCUCCCCAAAAAGGAAGGGAUGCACCCGUCAGAAGAGGGAAUGUGUCACACCACUUCCUACAGAAGCAGCUUCUUUAUCCUUAGUCCUGCAAAAGGCAAAUGCCAAUUAUUAGCCACAGAUGAGCUGUCAUAAUGAUUUGGGUGGCAGAGAAUGGCAAAGGUGUAGGAGAGCAGAAGACAGACAGACAGUUCCUUUAUUAUUUCUGUCUCAGAAUUGCAGUGAUUCAUUCAGAAUGAGAAAUGGAGUUGCCUGAUUUAAGCACGAACCUGUCUGACUGCAGGAGAGAGAGAAAUGGGCCUGAAACGAAGCUCUAAGUUGUUUUCUUUCUCCUCCCCCUUUUCUCCCCUCCCUGUCCUGUUGACCUAUGAAGUCACGCAGUGCAAGUUCA